CUUUACUGCAACUUUGCACUGGCGUUAGAAGGGGACUGUGUAGGAUAGGCGGGAGCCGUUGAAGCAGGGGCGCCAGCUCUUGUGGAGGCAACCUUGAAAUACCGCCCUGGCUUCUUUUGACGUCUAACCUCGACCAGUCAUCCUGGUCAGGGACCGUGCAUGGUGGGCAGUUUGACUGGGGCGGUCGCCUCCCAAAAGGUAACGGAGGCGCGCGAUGGUGGGCUCAAGCCGGUCGGACAUCGGCUGUUGAGUGCAAAGGCAUAAGCCCGCCUGACUGCGAGAGCGACAGCUCGAGCAGAGACGAAAGUCGGCCUUAGUGAUCCGGUGGUUCCACGUGGAAGGGCCAUCGCUCAACGGAUAAAAGGUA
rnacentral:rRNA from 1 species